GACCUAAUAGUGUAGUGCUGCACACCUGCUCUCCUUUAGAGAUGAGUGCACUCGUGAAGUAAGUGGUCCCGGUUCGAGUCCGGGUUAGGUCA